ACAGAGCUCACAUCCUGUUCCAGUUCAGGGCCCCAGGACCAGAGCAAGCCGGCGACUCCCUUCAGACCUGACCGUCCCCAGUGCCCCGGGCCAGGCCCAUCCAGGAGGCAGGUCCCCAGGGAUGCUAUUUAUCAACUACCAGGAAACUUCUCCUCCCCAACCUCUCAGAAGACCUGCCGUGUUCAGCUGUCCCGUGGCACUUGGUCUCUUAAUGAAGAUGGAGUUGAUCCAGUAUAUGAAGGAGAUUUGGAGAUCCUUUGAGGCCAUCUCUCAAGCUGGGAAACUGCCUAGUAAUUGUGGCCUUUUGUACAGGCUUCUCUGUAUUUAACUACUAGUGGUCCAGUCAUAACUCAUCAUGACUUUGGAAAAAUCCCAGUAUUUGUGGCUGGCAGAUGGAGAGGAGAGCAGCAGACAUACAGAUGCUGGCCAUGACACAGGGCCUCAAAAGGUGUUGGAUAUAGAGCAAGAGACCAUCAGGACUUCAUGAGGGACAGAAAGGAACUGGAGCAGAAUGGGGAGGGAUCAAGUGAACCACAAGAGGAUGAGAAGAGAGGAGACGACGUAGACAUAUUUGCAAAUUUGACAGCAAAAUAGAGGAAACAGGGCAAUCCAGAUGUAGUCAGAGUAUUUCAGAAUAAGAGACAACAGGGCUAGUACCCCAUAAAACAAUGCUAGGAUAUUAGUCUCCACUUGAGCAUGUAAGUAUUAAACUAGAGGACUUCCUUGCCUCCGCAAGGACCCAGACAACCCAAACCUAUUCAGACUGUUAGCAAGGAAGCAACUAGUAAGAUAGAAGUCAGGUGCAAAGGGAGGAACCGCUGUUGUAGGCCCUUAUUCUGCAAUAGAAGCCAUGUGGGCAGACCCUUGCAUGUGCCUGGCUUCAAGAGGAUUCCACAUAUGAGCAAGGAGCCACCCUGCCUGGAUCAGGAUCAUUGAUGAGCCAGAAGUAAAAAGGAGUAUCAAAAUUGUUGGGCUCAGACUGAAGAUUUACAAAGUUAUUGAUAUGGAAAACAGAAUAAGUCCACGUGGGCACAAUAGAAGGGCCGGGAAUCUUUCUGGAUGUCAGUACAGCACUGCAUAGAAGGAGUAUUUUCUGUGAAUGAAGCGGUACACUAAAGACCAGAUGAUUGCCCUAUUAGCAUGCUUCUCUUCUGACUUUGCUUUGGGAGCUCUCCUCUGGUGGGUCCAGCUGCUCCACACAUCCAUUUGAUUCCCUAGCUCCGAUGAGGAAGUCAGACAUGGAUCAAGGCCAGAAAGCUGAUAAUGGAGUCUGUAAA